rfam:Globodera pallida, Lindley, WGS project CBXT01000000 data, contig: pathogens_Gpal_scaffold_170_contig_17
GGGCGAGUAGCUCAGGGGUAGAGCGCCUGCUUUGCAUGCAGGAAGUCGGGGGUUCAAUUCCCUCCUCGUCCA